AAACGACUCUCGGCAACGGAUAUCUCGGCUCUCGCAUCGAUGAAGAACGUAGCGAAAUGCGAUACUUGGUGUGAAUUGCAGAAUCCCGUGAACCAUCGAGUCUUUGAACGCAAGUUGCGCCCGAAACCAGUAGGUCGAGGGCACGUCUGCCUGGGCGUCACG
rnacentral:rRNA from 1 species